GAUGAAGAACGUAGCGAAAUGCGAUAAGUAAUGUGAAUUGCAGAAUUCAGUGAAUCAUCGAAUCUUUGAACGCACAUUGCGCCCAUUAGUAUUCUAGUGGGCAUGCCUGUUCGAGCGUCAUUUCAACCCUUAAGCCCCAGGCUUGUGUUGGGGACCUGCGGCUGCCGCAGGCCCUGAAAACCAGUGGCGGGCUCGCUGUCACACCGGGCGUAGUAGAUUUUAUCUCGCUCAGGGCGUGCUGCGGGUUCCGGCCGUUAAAAAGCCUUUUUUACCCAAGGUUGACCUCGGAUCAGGUAGGAAGACCCGCUGAACUUAAGCAUAUCAAUAAGCGGAGGA
rnacentral:misc_RNA from 1 species